rnacentral:rRNA from 1 species
AACGCGAAGAACCUUACCUACCCUUGACAUGCUCGGAAUCUGCUAGAGAUAGUGGAGUGCCUUCGGGAGCCGAGACACAGGUGCUGCAUGGCUGUCGUCAGCUCGUGUCGUGAGAUGUUGGGUUAAGUCCCGUAACGAGCGCAACCCCUAUUCUUAGUUGCCAACAGGUGAUGCUGGGAACUCUAAGGAGACUGCCGGUGACAAGCCGGAGGAAGGUGGGGAUGACGUCAAGUCCUCAUGGCCCUUACGGGUAGGGCAACACACGUGUUACAAUGGCCAGUACAGAGGGAAGCGAAAUCGCGAGAUGGAGCGAAUCCUUUAAAAGCUGGUCGUAGUCCGGAUUGGAGUCUGCAACUCGACUCCAUGAAGUUGGAAUCGCUAGUAAUCGCGGAUCAGAACGCCGCGGUGAAUACGUUCCCGGGCCUUGUACACACCGCUAGUC